UUACAGCCAUAUCAUGCUGAAACAUUGGUUCCCAUAUGAUCACCAAAGUUAAGCAAUGUCAAGCCUGGUCAGUACCUAGAUAACUGACCACUUGGGAAUGCCAGGUGCAGUAA